UAUUUGAGGAAACCUUCGUCAAACUCUCAACGUUGACCGCGAGAUGUUCCAGUAUCUCAUAGGUCGACAAACCAUCGGGCACUCCAAUUUGUCUUUCAUCCAAUAGAAUGGAGGUAUGCUAAAAGAGUUUCAUCAUUUGCUGACAAAUUCCAUAUCGGGCUGGAGGGAGAGUGGUGGGUUGAUGAAACUGGGAACACCCCACCUCCACGCCAACAUCAAGUUUCCAUAAAAAAAUUUCUCCUUCCGGAACUCUCUUCGUUGAGGAAUGCGUGCAUCUAAAGUUUGUGUUUUUAUGUUAUCCCUACGUACUCUAUCACAUGUGCAUAUUUUAAGCAAACCGGACAUCUAGUUGGAAUUGUUCUCGUGUAUAAGUUUGUGACUGACAAGCUAGUGUUCAACUUGCAUCCACUUUGUCAACAAGAAGGCAAAAUAUAUUAAGGACGAUCACUAGAUCAACCGCAUCUCCCUACUUUUUAGGAGGGAGAGGAUAUUUUUGGGGGAAAGUUGGAGAUUUUAGGUGAUGGACUAGAUGGGCUAACUCUCAAUAGAGUUAUUAAGAAACUAUUGGGGAUGGGUUAGAGAGGCUCUAAUGCACGGCUGAAUUAUGCAUGUCUUACCAGUGCGAUCUAAUUUUCUCACCAAAAAUGUAGUUGGUUGGCAACGAAAAUAGUACGCCCCGUGAAACCACUACAAGCAACAGCCCGUCAAUUCAGCAUUUCUUUGCAAGCUGCCCAUGCAGGAAGGAUGCAUACGUGGUCACACUGAUGCUGUGUAUAGGCUUAGUAAUAAAAAUGUGAAGGCCUAGCAUGCAUGAUCCAUCUCCCCGUCUAUAUAUAGCUAUUGGCGGUUGAUUCAGAUCACUUUAGUUGAGAGAUGAUUACUUAAUAUGCAUGGUUAGUAAGGUACUUGAAAUUUCCAUUUGGUUCACUAGGAUAUUAGAGGAAACCAAUAAAAUCAUCUGUUAUAAGCAUGCUUAUCUUGCCAUCGCCGCGCUCCAGCAACUUCUAUCGGAGUGUUCUUGGGCAGCUCUAUUAACUAUGAGCAUGGCCAACAAAUGUAGUGUCACCUCCAGCCGAUGACACCACCAGAAACAACAGAAAUGCCGCCUCUCGCACCACCGAGAUGAGACUGAUCUUCCCUGUCGAGAAGACGUACGCGCCACCAUCUGUUGAUCGGUUUACUACUGGACGCUAGCGGCACCGACUAACACUUGUUGAGAUUAUGUUGUAAGAAUAUUUCAUAUAUUCAUCUGUCCCAUGUAAUUUACCGGAAUAAUUCUAAUAUUAAGUUGUCUUGCCUGAAUGAUUACU
rnacentral:lncRNA from 1 species